UUCGGGUUGUCAUGCCAAUGGCACUGCCCGGUAGCUAAAUGCGGAAGAGAUAAGUGCUGAAAGCAUCUAAGCACGAAACUUGCCCCGAGAUGAGUUCUCCCUGAGACUUAAAGUCUCCUGAAGGAACGUUGAAGACGACGACGUUGAUAGGCCGGGUGUGUAAGCGCAGCGAUGCGUUGAGCUAACCGGUACUAAUGAACCGUGAGGCUUAACCUUAC
rnacentral:rRNA from 1 species